rnacentral:rRNA from 1 species
UACGUAGGGUGCAAGCGUUGUCCGGAAUUAUUGGGCGUAAAGAGCUCGUAGGUGGCCUGUCGCGUCGGCUGUGAAAACUCGGGGCUCAACUCCGAGCUUGCAGUCGAUACGGGCAGGCUAGAGUUCGGCAGGGGAGACUGGAAUUCCUGGUGUAGCGGUGGAAUGCGCAGAUAUCAGGAAGAACACCGAUGGCGAAGGCAGAUCUCUGGGCCGUAACUGACGCUGAGGAGCGAAAGCAUGGGGAGCGAACAGG